rnacentral:rRNA from 1 species
UACGAAGGGGGCUAGCGUUGCUCGGAAUCACUGGGCGUAAAGCGCACGUAGGCGGAUCGUUAAGUCGGGGGUGAAAUCCUGGAGCUCAACUCCAGAACUGCCUCCGAUACUGGCGAUCUUGGAGUCCGGGAGAGGUGAGUGGAACUCCGAGUGUAGAGGUGAAAUUCGUAGAUAUUGGGAAGAACACCGGUGGCGAAGGCGGCGCUCUGGACCGAGACUGACGCUGAGGCGCGAAAGCGUGGGGAGCAAACAGG